rnacentral:rRNA from 1 species
UACGGAGGGUGCAAGCGUUAUCCGGAUUCACUGGGUUUAAAGGGUGCGUAGGUGGGUUGGUAAGUCCGUGGUGAAAUCUCCGAGCUUAACUCGGAAACUGCCGUGGAUACUAUCAAUCUUGAAUACUGUGGAGGUAAGCGGAAUAUGUCAUGUAGCGGUGAAAUGCCUAGAUAUGACAUAGAACACCGAUAGCGAAGGCAGCUUGCUACACAGUCAUUGACACUGAGGCACGAAAGCGUGGGGAGCAAACAGG